GAGGUUGUGGCUUAGUAGUAGAGUGCUUGCCUGGCAUGCAUGAGGCAUUGGGUUCAAUCCUAAGCACCCACA
rnacentral:tRNA from 1 species